GUAGAGCCGGCCUCAGAGGCGGCAGCGGCGUUGGCGUCUUCCGUGAAGAAAAGUGCGAGUUCCAACUUUACUCUUGGCCCGGGAGGGUUUUGGCGCGGAGCGUCGUCAUGUCAGAGAAGAAGCAGCCGGUAGACUUGGGUCUCUUGGAGGAGGACGACGAGUUCGAGGAGUUCCCUGCGGAAGACUGGGCUGGUUUAGAUGAAGAUGAAGAUGCACAUGUCUGGGAGGAUAAUUGGGAUGAUGACAAUGUAGAGGAUGACUUCUCCAAUCAGUUACGAGCUGAACUAGAGAAACAUGGUUAUAAGAUGGAGACUUCAUAGCAUCCAGAAGAAGUGUUGAAGCAACCUAAACUUGAACUGUUUAUUAAAUUCGAGGAUGGAGAACCCAGGAUGGGACACUUAAAAAAGAAAUAUGUUUAUUUCAUUAGCUUCUUGGAUUUAUUUUUUGUUUUUGUAACACACAAAAUAAAUGUUUUGAUCUAAUCUUUAUUUGGUUCAGAAGUCUUGAUCUUUUACUUCUAGUCAUUAAUUUACUCAUACUAUUAAUGAUUUUCCAGGACUUUAUUAUAUAGAGACAGUAAAUUCAUCUGAUUCCAAUUCAUUACCUUUAUUUAACCACAUCAGUUUAAUGUGAAUCUUAUUUAUAAGGUUACUUCUUUUAAGUUACAUUUAACCUUAAUCUCAUCUGUAUUUUGAAAGCUCAGGACACAUUUGCUGACAUCUCUAAGGUGACCCUUUAAAACAUAUGUUUUAAAAAUAUUAAUCAUUUUCAAUUGCUGUAAUUAGCUCCUGAGCCAUUAAUAAUAGUAUUAAAAGUUGAUAGAGUACUAUUAGUACUUAAAAUCAAGUGGUUUGAUCAUAGUUCUAAGAACAGUGUCCUUUGUCAAAACUGGGGAAGUAGGAUCAAGAUACUUUGUUAACAGGCAUAUUCUCAGGUACUACAUAGUAGAUCCAUUUAAUAUAAUUAAAUUUCUGCAAAAUGAUUGUUGUUGCCACAUCUACUUUUGUGAGUGGAAGAUAGAAUUUAGUUGGUAAAAGAUUCUUUCUGUUAAGAUAUACAAUGAAGCUAAUGUACAGUUUUUAUUGGGAUAUUCUCAAACUUGAAUGUGUUACUUAUUUAGAAGGAGAGCUUUUAGAACUGUUGAGUACUUUAAAAUGUAAAAUGCAUGUAACAUGAUGUAGUAUUGACACCAAAAUAGAGUUGGGUGCCUGAAAUAUAAUUUAUGCCUCAAAAUGAUUUUGAACCUAAGUAAGUUUUCUCCUCCUAAGACAGGCAUAAUUCUGCCUUGCCUACCUUACAGAACUGCUGAAUGAUCAGAUAAAAAGAACUUUGGAAAGUGUAAAAGCAUCUUAUAUAUUUGUAAUCCUGUAGUAUAGCACAGGAAAUCAUGCUAUUAUUGAGGCAUGUGCACAAAUAUUUUGAUGGUGUAUAUAUUUUCAGUAGUCAGUGACUAUCUUUAGACCCUGUAUCAGUGGUCACCUUGACAGUGUCAGAUCAUUACCCAGAGGGAUGACCACCUCAUGACUUUAAAUUGGUGCAAGGUCCAAUUUUGAAAAUUUAGAGGAAUUGGGAAGAGGCUUUAAUGGGUUAUCACUAGUUAUAUAGUGUUUUGUCCUUAAUGAAACUUCAGAAUUAAAGCAUUUUCUUCUUAAGGAUUGAGUACCUAGAAAUUGAUAUUUGGCAUCAGGAUGAUGAAGCCAUCAAUGGUUGAAAGUGAGACUAGUCAAGCAGCUGAAGAAAAUUAUUUUUAUGGGAUUUUACAGUUAAUCAACUUCUUUAGCUUUUGAUCUUCAUAACAGCCCUGCCAAAGCAGGCAGGAAAAGCCUAUCUAUUGUGAACAUUUCAUCAAAUAGAAAACAGCUUCAGAGGAAAUAAGGAAGUGAAUAGGUUGUCAGAUAAAAACUAGAAUCCAGUUUGUUUUUAUUUUUCCUUCCUCAUUUUCAAUAAUCACUUAAUUCCAUUUGAAAUAGUUUUGAAUUCAAGUUCCUCUAAAUUUUCAAAAUUCUUGGAUCAGAAUUAUUGCCAUUGUAUGCCAUGUUUUUUUAGCCUACUUCCAUUUCAUGUUUAAUUAAGAGAACUAUGAUAAUGAGCCAACAGCACUCUUUUGAAAGAUUCUAAGAUGUUAAUAAUGCCUUUUUAUGGCAUAUCAUGAUCUACCCUGUACCUUUUGGCAGAGAGCUAACAAUUUACCCUAUUCUCUGUCUACCCACACAUACGGUGCUGGGAAGUUUGGCUUGAGUUUCCUAGCUGCCUUAAUGGCUCUGGUUAUAUUCCACCUCUAAAUCUUGGCAUGGGCUUAGAUUUUGUUCUGUAUCUGUUUCUUGCUUUAUCCGUACUAUAAUCUCUUUAGUAAUUUCAUUCAGUCUCAGUUGCAUAAAAGAAAGAGAAAUCUCCAUAUGUGUAAUUUCAUUCUCUGUUUUCAGUCUUGCCCUUUCCUUAAAAUUGCAAGCUUUUAUAUCCACUAACAGCUUGAACAGUAUCUAAUAGAUAUCUUAAAGUUCAGAGUGGAAACAGAAGACUUUAUUCUCAAAUAUGAUUUUUCUUCCAGUCUCUCCCAUAUCAGUAAAUACCCCACUUCCUUCCCAGUUGCUGAAACCCAACGCUGUAAGAACUGCUCUGAAUCUUCUUAGUAUUUAAUUUAUUGGCAAGUUCCGUCAACAUCUUCAAUGCAUAUCCCAUGUCAUAGACAUCACUGCUUGUUGUCUACCCAGCAUCUAUUUCCCCCUUCCUCUUUUCUAACAAUCAUUUUUUCCCUUAAGUAUUCGUCCUUUUUUCACAUAAGCCAUGUGACUCAAGGCAAGUCAACCCCAUUCCCAGUUAGAGUGGGCUCUGCUUGAUAAUUUAGUCAGUUUCAACUCCAUUUCUCAUACAAAUGAAUGGAUGAGGGAUGGACAAGCUUGAGAUAUGAGUCAAUAAACAGGGCUAAGGGCAUCUGGCAAGGAGGAAUCCUGGCUUUUGAAAUAGACACAUAAAGUAAUCUCUCCCUCUUGGUAUGAAUAAGGAGCAUGUAGUUUCAAUUGCUAGUAGCAGUCAUCUAACAACUUCCACUCUAAGGCUUAAGAUGAUUAGAAAAUCUGGAAGAAUGCAAUUCUUUGAUAAUAUCAUUGAGGCUGCUCUGGCACUAAGCUUCCUGUAAAAUAAGCAUACAAAUUGUAUUUAAGAAACCUUAGUUUGAAUAUUUGGUUACUUGUAUCCAAAAACAACUGAUAAAUUCAGAAUCUAUCUACUCCUGCUUCCUAGUAUCUUGAUCUAAACCAUCACCAUCAGGCACUAGGAUUUACUGCAAUGAUAACCUAACUAGUUUCCCUAUUUUUUUUUUUUCUACCCUACAUUUUUUUUCUGUAGAAAACCGGGAUCUUGUUAAAAUUUAGAUCAUGUCACCCCUUUCUUCAAAUGCUUUCAGGUGCUCCUUAAAGCAGCCUAAAACUCCUUAUAAAGCCCAAUAUGAUUGGCUUCCUCCUAUGUCAAGUUACAUUACUUGAUUUUCAGUAAUGUUUUACUUUGGUCACUUCUGAAGAGUAAAUUAAAGCUAAAUCACUAAGCAGAAAGUCAUUAUACUCAAAUGCUUGAACACACCAGGGGUCUUUCCACUGAUUGGUCCCUGGAAUGCUUGUCCUCAUCCUCCAAGACAGGCCUUCAGAAGGAUUGGCAGAGUCAGUAUAGACCAGGAAACAGAGUAGACAUUUUUUUUUUCCUAAACAAUGAGAGGACUUCUGCCUUCUUGGUUACAAGACACAAAUCCAUGUAAUAAGCCAUAUUAUCUCAUUGGUUGUAUCUAGACAAUCAAACCUUGUAUCCUGCCAGAAGAGGUCAGUAGGAUCACCAGUGCCUGUGAAAUAACUUUUCCAUUGUUGCCUGCAGUGAAUGUCUUGCAAAAAAACUUUGUAACUUCUUGCUUUGACCAAAAUAUGACAUCAUUGUUCAGUAGCUAUUCAAUAAACUAAUCACAUGAAUCUUGUUUAUA